rnacentral:lncRNA from 1 species
AACAAUCAUUAAUGCCUUAUCGGACAUACCAUUUUUGGCCUUCCAUUGCAUAAAUUCUAGUGUGGUACGUAGGUUUUAUGGCCUCCUUGGUAAUCUGGGUAUAGCAAUUUCAUGUGAUCAUCUAUCAUGUGCUGCAACUUUGAUGCUUCCUUCCGAGUUUCGCAAUCUCUGUGUGCAUCCCUAAGCACCUGACCGAGGUUAUCAAUAUGGCCAUCUUCUGCAAACUCAUCUUCAUCACCCUCACCCAUUGUAGUAUCUGCAAAAGCCUGGCCCAUAGCGCAGUCCGAAAUGUUGUCAUCACCCUCCUCCUCUUCACCGUCUUCCAUUACAAACCCCUCUUUCGCCGUGACGGGUCCAAACCAAAUGGUUAGGCGUGAAACCGUAUCUAAACAAGUGGCUGUGAAUGGUCCCUAAGGAAGCCUUUGAAUAGCACUUCUGGUUACUGCAUUGGACGCAUGGAUUACAAUAAAACUAUCCAUCACAUUAGUAAAAUUUUAGAUAGAAAUAUACAAAUUAAAAUUUCAGAAGCAAACAACAUGAUACACUAUGACAAACUCAAAUAUUACUAAAAGUUUACAUAGAAAUACGCAAAUUUAAAUUUGAGAGCAAUAACAACAUGAUACAAUAUGACAAACCAUACACUAAGUACUAUCUAGAAGGACUUCAAGCAUCCUUGGAAAGCGAAGAUGAAGGUUUCGCUAAUGCAGCCUUAUUUUGUAGUUUAUUUGUACCUCUUGCAAUGGUAGUAUUUAUAAGUGGACCUGAAACACCCGGGAUUGGUGGUAGAGCAUAACGACCACCAAAAGGAGGUUCCUGACCUACAGCAACACAUCUUCAUGAUAUCUUUGCAAAUAAUGAAACAUUGCUUUCUCCCACGCACUCAUUUUCUUCGGCUUAUCGUGAGGGCUAACUAUGGUUUUCCCCUUGCUGCGAGAGGAACGACGAUCUCCCCCACCAUCACCACUACAUCCGGCAUCAGAAACCAUCUCUAUGUACCACAAAUUAUUUAGCUCAUAUUUAAUUUACAAAUAACUAAACUUAAAAAAUUCAAUAUUUCCCACAUAAUUUACUUAUUAUAAAAAUGGCUAAUUCCAUACCUCUAUCUGAAAAGUACAAAAGUACAAAAUUACACCUACAAUUUAUAUGGCUAAUUUAUAAAUAUUAAAAACACAUUUACUCUAAUCUUUCCCUAUUACAUAAAAUUGAAAUAAUCUCAAUUCUACCUCACAUUUACUGUCCAUUCUCC